UACGGGGGGGAGCAAGCGUUGUUCGGAUUUACUGGGCGUAAAGGGCGCGUAGGCGGUCGUGACAAGUCACUUGUGAAAUCUCCGGGCUUAACUCGGAACGGUCAAGUGAUACUGUCGGACUAGAGUACAGAAGGGGCAACUGGAAUUCUCGGUGUAGCGGUGAAAUGCGUAGAUAUCGAGAGGAACACCUGCGGCGAAGGCGGGUUGCUGGGCUGAUACUGACGCUGAGACGCGAAAGCUAGGGGAGCAAACGGG
rnacentral:rRNA from 1 species